CUAGUAACCAGCAGGUAGCCUAGUGGUUAGAGUGUUGGACUAGUAACCAGCAGGUAGCCUAGUGGUUAGAGCGUUGGACUAGUAACCAGCAGGUAGCCUAGUGGUUAGAGCGUUGGACUAGUAACCAGCAGGUAGCCUAGUGGUUAGAGCGUUGGACUAGUAACCAGCAGGUAGCCUAGUGGUUAGAGCGUUGGACUAGUAACCAGCAGGUAGACUAGUGGUUAGAGCGUUGGACUAGUAACCAGCAGGUAGCCUAGUGGUUAGAGCGUUGGACUAGUAACCAGCAGGUAGCCUAGUGGUUAGUGCGUUGGACUAGUAACCAGCAGGUAGCCUAGUGGUUAGAGCGUUGGACUAGUAACCAGCAGGUAGCCUAGUGGUUAGAGCGUUGGACUAGUAACCAGCAGGUAGCCUAGUGGUUAGAGCGUUGGACA